rnacentral:lncRNA from 1 species
AGUCCGGAGCUUCCGGUCGCCGCGGCCGACCAGCUGAGGGCUCCCGGAGAUAUGGAGCGGGGUCAGCGAGGCCUGGUGGCGCCUCCUGGAGUCUGGGACGAGCGGCGGUCCGAGGAGCAGCCCAGGUGGGGCGAGGGUACGGAGACGCUAUUUCCCUCCGAACUCUGAAGUAGCCAGGUCAGUGUCGGCUCCGCGAGGGCUGGAGUUCACGGUGACAGCCGGCAGAGCAUCUGAUGCCACGUGGAGAGGCGAAGUACAUGGGUCGGAUUCCACGCUGGGAGCCGGCCUGGAUCUGCGCUUUAGGAAGCCACUGCGGGCGACCCUAUCUUGUCGCCAGGACUUCGCAUCUGAUGAGCCUCAGGGCACACAAGUUAGAGAGGCUUGUGCCGGCUGAUGUGGCUUUUCUUUUUCUUAGUUUCCGUUUAGUAAACGACCUUGUGACUUCUGGCUUGCUCAGGAAGACCAGAAAAAAAGGCAAUAGGUAACGAAUUUUUCUUUUUUUAAAGAAACAGAUUAUUGGCCGAGGAAAAACCAAUUUCGCUCUAAAGGAUAAGCAACAAAAUACUGAGGGGGGAAAAAGCCUACACAAAUGGAAACAUACGGCACAAAAUCAAGGAGCGACCAGUUCCGCAUGGUUACACUAAAAUGCACUGCACUCCCACUCUCUGGCUUGGCUGAAGAUAACCAGCAAGCUCUGAACAGUUUAAAAGCCUUCCAAGGACUGCAGCAGCACUGGACACACAAGAGAGUCGAGAACAGUAUUGGAUUUAUUGUUAGGGUUACAAUUUUCACGAUCUUUGCAUGCAAAACUUGCCACUCUGAGCCCAGUGAACUAUUUUUAUUUGGUUUACUUACUGGCUUUCUGGAUGACUAGGUAGAGCUUUAACUAAAGAACACUUCUGCUGUGGUCUGUGAUGAUGAAUUUUCCCGUAGUGUCAUUUCUAUAAUGGAAUAGGCAAACUGACCAUUUAGAAUGUGAUAUUCCUAAAUCACAUUCAAAUCAGUCUUAUCAGAGACUUCUAAUCAAUAAAAAUAAAGCACCAGAUGGCUAGAGGUAGUUUUUGACCUCAGCUUGGGCCUCAGCAAAGAUUUUUUGUGUUUUUUUUAACUACAUUAAAACAUCAGAGUUUAAGACACUUUUCUUUGAGCAUCAGAAAUACUCUCAGCUGAAUUUAGAGUUGAACUAUCCGGAAGAACCCUGGAGAAGGAGGGUGAUUUAUUUUCAACUUUCUGAUUUACCACCGACUUAAAUCAACCAAUGAGUUCUUUCUUUGACCAAAAAAAAAAAAAAAAAAAAAAAAAAAAAAAAAAAAAUUCAAGACUUGUGAUGUUUCUAUUUGUUUUGUUUUGUUUAGUUUGGUGUGUGCUUACUCAUUGUCCCAUUCUUUUGAUAACCUGUAUUUAUCUGCCACAAGUUAAACAAAAAUAAAUGAAAUAAGGAACACACCAAAAUCCUGCACUUAGGCCCUGUAUAGACAGUGUGUUCCAAACCUAAGGAGGUGUCUGCAACAGGGGAGGCUGCUGAGUGACUCUGCAGAGAACAGAUGACAUCUGUUAAAUGUCAAACACCAUCACGUCGUACUUCAAGUUGUACUUUACUUGGAACAUGGAAGCCAUCUGUCUGGAGCUCCCACAUCCAUUUCAAAUCUUCAGGGUUCCCCAUUCCAGGGGAGGAGCUGAACCUCCUGACACCGUCCACUUCCCUCCUGCCUCCUUCAAACAUCAUCCCUUUUUUCUCCCGAAUCCCUAAAUGUUUCUGCACCCAAGGGCUCUACCCCAAUAAACACAGCUAAGACUCUUUGAUUCUUAAAAUGUCUUCCUUUAACGUCCCACCCUCCAGAAUCUAUUGUCGUAUGUUUUGUUCACCAAAGGUAAUAAAAAUAAAUGUGGA